CGAGCGGUAACAGAUCCAGCUUGCUGGAUGCUGACGAGCGGCGGACGGGUGAGUAACGCAUAGGAAUUUACCCGGUAGUGGGGGAUAACCUGGGGAAACUCAGGCUAAUACCGCAUACGUCCUACGGGAGAAAGGGGGCUUUGGCUCCCGCUAUCGGAUGAGCCUAUGCCGGAUUAGCUGGUUGGUGAGGUAAUGGCUCACCAAGGCGACGAUCCGUAGCUGGUCUGAGAGGAUGAUCAGCCACAUCGGGACUGAGACACGGCCCGAACUCCUACGGGAGGCAGCAGUGGGGAAUAUUGGACAAUGGGGGCAACCCUGAUCCAGCCAUGCCGCGUGUGUGAAGAAGGCCCUCGGGUUGUAAAGCACUUUCAGCGAGGAAGAACGCCUGGUGGUUAAUACCCGCCAGGAAAGACAUCACUCGCAGAAGAAGCACCGGCUAACUCCGUGCCAGCAGCCGCGGUAAUACGGAGGGUGCAAGCGUUAAUCGGAAUUACUGGGCGUAAAGCGCGCGUAGGUGGCUUGAUAAGCCGGUUGUGAAAGCCCCGGGCUCAACCUGGGAACGGCAUCCGGAACUAUGAGGCUAGAGUGCAGGAGAGGAAGGUAGAAUUCCCGGUGUAGCGGUGAAAUGCGUAGAGAUCGGGAGGAAUACCAGUGGCGAAGGCGGCCUUCUGGACUGACACUGACACUGAGGUGCGAAAGCGUGGGUAGCAAACAGGAUUAGAUACCCUGGUAGUCCACGCCGUAAACGAUGUCGACCAGCCGUUGGGUGCCUAGCGCACUUUGUGGCGAAGUUAACGCGA
rnacentral:rRNA from 1 species